GAUGAACGCUGGCGGCGUGCCUAAUACAUGCAAGUCGAGCGAACAGAUGAGGAGCUUGCUCCUCUGACGUUAGCGGCGGACGGGUGAGUAACACGUGGAUAACCUACCUAUAAGACUGGGAUAACUUCGGGAAACCGGAGCUAAUACCGGAUAAUAUAUUGAACCGCAUGGUUCAAUAGUGAAAGACGGUUUUGCUGUCACUUAUAGAUGGAUCCGCGCCGCAUUAGCUAGUUGGUAAGGUAACGGCUUACCAAGGCAACGAUGCGUAGCCGACCUGAGAGGGUGAUCGGCCACACUGGAACAGAAACACGGUCCAGACUCCUACGGGAGGCAGCAGUAGGGAAUCUUCCGCAAUGGGCGAAAGCCUGACGGAGCAACGCCGCGUGAGUGAUGAAGGUCUUCGGAUCGUAAAACUCUGUUAUUAGGGAAGAACAAAUGUGUAAGUAACUAUGCACGUCUUGACGGUACCUAAUCAGAAAGCCACGGCUAACUACGUG
rnacentral:rRNA from 1 species